rnacentral:rRNA from 1 species
UGCAGUCGAGCGGUAGAGAGGUGCUUGCACCUCUUGAGAGCGGCGGACGGGUGAGUAAAGCCUAGGAAUCUGCCUGGUAGUGGGGGAUAACGCUCGGAAACGGACGCUAAUACCGCAUACGUCCUACGGGAGAAAGCAGGGGACCUUCGGACCUUGCGCUAUCAGAUGAGCCUAGGUCGGAUUAGCUAGUUGGUGAGGUAAUGGCUCACCAAGGCGACGAUCCGUAACUGGUCUGAGAGGAUGAUCAGUCACACUGGAACUGAGACACGGUCCAGACUCCUACGGGAGGCAGCAGUGGGGAAUAUUGGACAAUGGGCGAAAGCCUGAUCCAGCCAUGCCGCGUGUGUGAAGAAGGUCUUCGGAUUGUAAAGCACUUUAAGUUGGAAGGAAGGGCAUUAACCUAAUACGUUAGUGUUUUGACGUUACCGACAGAAUAAGCACCGGCUAACUCUGUGCCAGCAGCCGCGGUAAUACAGAGGGUGCAAGCGUUAAUCGGAAUUACUGGGCGUAAAGCGCGCGUAGGUGGUUCGUUAAGUUGGAUGUGAAAUCCCCGGGCUCAACCUGGGAACUGCAUUCAAAACUGUCGAGCUAGAGUAUGGUAGAGGGUGGUGGAAUUUCCUGUGUAGCGGUGAAAUGCGUAGAUAUAGGAAGGAACACCAGUGGCGAAGGCGACCACCUGGACUGAUACUGACACUGAGGUGCGAAAGCGUGGGGAGCAACAGGAUUAGAUACCCUGGUAGUCCACGCCGUAAACGAUGUCAACUAGCCGUUGGGAGCCUUGAGCUCUUAG